GAAAUGCGAUAAGUAAUGUGAAUUGCAGAAUUCAGUGAAUCAUCGAAUCUUUGAACGCACAUUGCGCCCGCCAGAAUACUAGCGGGCGCAAUGUGCGUUCAAAGAUUCGAUGAUUCACUGAAAUCUGCAAUUCACAUUACGUAUCGCAUUUCGCUGCGUUCUUCAUCGAUGCUGAACGGUUGGUU
rnacentral:misc_RNA from 1 species